rnacentral:misc_RNA from 1 species
ACGGUACUGGCGGGAGACCAUUUUCCGUCCUCUAUCCUUAUAGGAUUGGGGACGACGAUAAUUGACAAACCCCGGACGUGCCCUCGGCCRGAAGGCUUAGGGCGCAACUUGCGUUMAAGACUCCMUGGUUCAGGGGAUUCUGCAAAUCACACCAAGUAUCGCAAUUCCCUACAUUCUUCAUCGAUGCGAAAGCCGAGAUUUCCGUUGCCGAGAGUAAUUUUACACUUUGGAUCGCAUGGCGGCAUCCCGCAAACCCCCCGUUUCCGGGGCGGCGGAAGCAGGCUGUUUAGUUGCAUGUUCCUUGACAAUUUUCGUGCCGGGGUUUUGUGAAUUUCCGAAAGCCCAGCUCAUAKCCCAAUCAAGAAUAAAAAUCUUGA